UCACAUGCAAACAAGUAUUAACUUAAGGAAAUCAAUCUUCUCCCAUUGGAAAUCUUCGCUCGAAGGCCAUAUAGCAACGUAGAUCAAAUCUAUAUCAAGAGGUGGUUCUACUCUUCAAUCACCUCAGCUCAUGGGCACUCGACCAUCUACAAACAUGUCAGGGAAUAAUAUGUUGGAACCAUUUUGUUUAAUUUUCAAGGUC
rnacentral:lncRNA from 1 species